AUAUGUACGGAACUAUGUUAUGAAGUUUUCUGAAAUCAGGUUAAUAAAUUCCCCUGAAUGGAUGCAGGUUUCAAGUUCGAAGACAUGCAAGCUUUUGAAGUCAAUCUCAAGGUUGAAAGCUUUUGAAAUCAGGUUAAUAAAUUCUGUUAUGGAGCUUCAAAAUAUAUGCAAUCAUCCAUAUUUCAGCCAGCUUCAUGUAGAGGAGUAUAAUGAAGUUGAUGGGGGAAACUUCCUGAGGAGCUUCACCAUUUCAGCUUCUGCUUCAUCUAAUGGGUCUCCUCCUUUGAGUUCUAGUGGUAGUAGUGGUGGGGGUGGCGGUCCUGUGAUAUUGGAGCUUCCUGUUGAUAAGAUAAGGAGGCCUUUGAUGAGAACCAGAACUAAUGAUCCGGUCAAGGUUCAAGAACUGAUGGAUAGCAUAAGUGAAAUUGGCGUCCAAGUACCUAUUGAUGUGCUUGAGGUCGAUGGAGUUUAUUAUGGUUGUAACAGGUCUGCUAAUAGCCGAAGUUAAUGUAAAUACCAAGUCUAAACUCGGUUCUGGUGGUGUAUCACUGGUAUUUAAUUCUUUCUCUUCUUUACUCGAGAACUAUCUUCAAUAGCAUACAGACUGUUGUACAAUAUCACUGGUAUAGCAUACAGACUGUUGUACAAUAGACUUGAAUAAAGGAAUUACAGCAAAAUUCUUUUUGAAUACACAGCUUUUAUUUAGUAUCAGAACAAUGGAUUUUCUGUACUUUUCGAACUUUGCUUGAACUUCCUUGCAAACUUCUGGAAUUUCUGCUUCUUCUUUGUUAUUUUUUCGUCUUCGUCUUCGUUUUUUGUUUUUUAAUCUCAAAUUUUCUGAUUAAAAUUGUUUCUGGGUCCUGUAUUUGAUAACUCAAGGAUUGCAUGCUUCAAAAUUUAAUACUUGAUCAUAGAGAGUGAGAUUUUGAGUAAUAGCAGAUAUAAAAUUGAUUAUGCUGUUUUUCAUAUUGGGUUGUGAUAGAUUUUGCUUGCAGCUUUUGCUUCCUACUACUGUUCCUAUUUCAAGUGAUUUAUCUGUCAGAAGAUUUGUGUUCCAGUGAUGGUACAACUUCAUUGGUGCUAGUGAGUGGGGAAAAUGCACUUGAACUUGGGUUACAUGCUCUUGUUCUUCAUUCCUCUGGAAAACCAACCCCUUUGGUACUGUAUCAUGCUCUUCUGCUGCAAUAUGUGCUAACUCGUGAAGCUUCACAAUAAGCUUGGAGGUGAUGCAAAUGAGAGUAUAUAUAGUGCACAGGAUGCUUGAUAAAAUGGCACAAGAAGGUUUUGUUGAAGCGAAAAGAUAUUAUAUCACCUUUUGAUUCAUGUGUAGCUAGCUAGGAAUGUUUUCUUGUUUGGUACAUUACCUAGUCAC